AGGGAAUCUUCCACAAUGGACGAAAGUCUGAUGGAGCAACGCCGCGUGAGUGAAGAAGGUUUUCGGAUCGUAAAGCUCUGUUAUUGGGGAAGAAAAAAAGACGGUACCCAAGAAGAAAGUCCCGGCUAACUACGUGCCAGCAGCCGCGGUAAUACGUAGGGGACAAGCGUUGUCCGGAUUUACUGGGCGUAAAGGGCACGCAGGCGGUUUUUUAAGUCAGAUGUGAAAGGUACCGGCUCAACCGGUGACAUGCAUUUGAAACUGAAAGACUUGAGUAUUGGAGAGGCAAGUGGAAUUCCUAGUGUAGCGGUGAAAUGCGUAGAUAUUAGGAGGAACACCGGUGGCGAAGGCGGCUUGCUGGACAAAUACUGACGCUGAGGUGCGAAAGCGUGGGGAGCAAACA
rnacentral:rRNA from 1 species